GUGGUCCUAUUGAUAGUGGUGAGUUGUGAGGAGCUGUUUAGGGCAACUGGGUAGCUAAAUGCAAAUAUGAAAAUGCAAACCCACAAGACUCAUAUAUGGUCCCACACCCAACUAAGCCUUUCAUUUCCUGCCUCUAUCCCCACACCCCCCACAUCUUUUAAAUUAACGCACCUCUUUGCUGCUUUUGUAGUAUAUAUGAGUGGUCUCUGAUUUCACAAUAUUUGCAGACCCAUUUCGCCAUUUCAGGACCUCACCUUCUCCCUCUGUCUAUGUCCCUCUCCGCCUAGCUAGAUAGCUUUUCAGAUUUGUUGUUGAGAAGAGGGCGUGUGGGCAAGAUGGAGAAGCAGGGCACGUGCAUUUCUAACUCAUGCACACACUCAGUCCACAUUUUCUUGGUUGCAGUCGCCUGGUUGAAGAUCUUUUUGCUUAGCUUCAGUGACUGUGAGUUAGUUCUUCAUGUGCCCAUCUUCCCCAUCAUGACCACUACUCCUGGCUACAAUAUUUAUCAUUCAAAGACGACGAUAUGUUUCUACCCAUUUGGCUUUCUUGUCAAGAUCUCAUCCAAUUCGGUGAAAAAAGCUCCAUUUCAGAUAAACAAGCCUAAUCAAUAACACAGCCAACCAAGCCUUGUCUUGAAUUCUAGCUGGCUAGCUAGGCAGGGCAGACACGCAUUCAAGGUUCAAACAACCAUCAAGAUCUCAAGACAAUUAUCGGUGUUGUAAUUAAUUAGCUCUUUGGUACUUGGGAUUCUUUUUUAGGAAAAUAAAGCUAUUAAAUUUUAAUAAUUUAAUAAAUUAACUAUUGUAUUAAAUUAUGAGUUUGAUUAUGAACUAGUCGCUAUUAGAAGUGUUUUAUCUGAAUACUACAUUUGACUCGAAUGUAGAUUAGUGCCAUACGCAUAAGCAAAAUUGGGACACUAGAUGUAUGGUGCAAACCAAAGUUCUAAUCCAAGAUUUUUCUACAUUACCAAAUAGGCAUCACUUAAUCAUGGGGCAAGUUGCCCAAAUGGCCACAAAUGGAUAUUGUUCUCUCCACUGAAACUGAAAGUGGAAGAACAAGAAAAAGGGUAUGAAAUUCUCAUUUAUCUUUAUUGAUUUCCAAUUAAAUUUGGGAGUUGCUCUCAUUGAUUGCCAAUAAUAUCUUAUUGUGAGUUGAGUGAAGAAAGAAGUAUAGGUAACAAACUGUGUGUGGUAUGAUUUUUCUAGGUGGAAAAAAAAAAAACAAGAAAAGAAAGAAUUGAUGGCAUAUUAUCAAGAAUAGGGGCAUUUGGUACCACCACCAAGGAGACAAUACAAGACAACAACCA